rnacentral:lncRNA from 1 species
AUGAGUCUGUGUCCCCAGCACCCAGCACGAGGCCGACGCUCGGGUCCUCAGAAACGCUUUAUUGGGCAGCAGGGGGCCAGGGCCAGCAUGGUGAAUGUCUGGGGCCAGUGCCUCCAGCGAGGUCACCCCCUGCCCUCCUGGCUCCUGAGGGUGUUGGUGGCUGCGGUGGCCCCUCUGAGGCUCACAGACUCCACGGGGGCUGCCCCACCCCGACAUGUCCACGGGAGAGUUGGCCAGGCCAGGGCAGCUCAGACGAAGGUGGCGUGGUGUGCGCUGGCCUUGGGCUUCGCGGGCUCACCUGGGACGGGGCUCAGGCCAGGGAGGUCUGACGUAGGAGACCCACCACCGGUCUGCGCCCUCCCAGGGCCAGCCCGUGCCCCCGCGAUGCCACCAUCCUGCCCGGGCGCCAGGCCAGUUACAAGAUCCACGUCGAUGAUUCUGUUGACUGGGAGGCCUCGGCUGCCGUGGGUCCCGCUUCCUGUCACAGGGAGAAGAGAAGCUGUCACUUGCCUGACCCGGCCCUGGGCUCCCGGAACCCACCCCCCACCCCAAAGGCCCCUGUACAGACACUGGGCAUGGGAGGGGUUCCUGAAAUACCCCAAACACAUCCCAGAGGCAGCUGGCCUCCCACUGUGGGCCUCCAGGCUGGGGCAGGUGCGCCCAGGGGAGGUGCAGUGUUCCCAGAGUCCUCCGCAGAACACCUGCCACCAAGUGGGGGAGCCGACCCACUCAGAAACCCCACCACCCUGCUUCCCCACUGCAGCUCAGGAACAGAGCUGGGCCCCCGGCGGAGCCCCCACCCCGACUGCCCACCAAUUCCUCCUGGGGGCUGUCCUCAGGGCCCACCCCCAGGCCCAGGGCCCAUCCUCAGGGCCCACCCCCAGGGGGUCGAGCACUAGGGUGGGAGCAGUUCCAGACAGGCUGGACCCUCUUGGCCUGGUGGAACGGGCCCUGAGUCCUGCAUCUGCUGCCCCAUCCCACCCUACCAGGCUAGCCAGCUGCUCGCCCACCUGGCUCGCUGCCUCAGCACCGUCUUCACCGCACACACCCUGCUCUGGGCCUGCCUGUCAUGUCCCCUCCCCCUUCAUCCCUGGCCCCCCUGCUGAGGCCCCUCUUCCGGGCUGGUCAGUGCCUCUGGCCCCACUUCUGGCUCCAAUGCCCACUCCAGUCCCAGGAGAUCCCGGCUGCCUGAACCGGCCUUGGAAGCUUCUAGACCCAAUGUGGGCAGGCCAUCUCCUUGCCAGCACCCCUGGGAGGCCUCCCUUCCCAGGGCGUCACUGA